GGGCCAACGCUGCCAGCAGCGACGUUUGUCCGCCGCUUUUUAUCUGACGUAUGUGCACUUACGUUGACCGCUGUUGGGUGUUGUGUGGUGGAUGUUCUCUGGCUGUGUCCAGUGCAACAAGAACAGUAGAAGAGUUUCUGAACUCCGGUCGCCUCGGCAGUGGGCCAUUGGCCAGCAAAGUUGCGUGUUCCUAAACCCAUAGUUCAUACCGUGUCGUCUGGCAUGGACGUAGACCACUGUUGGGUACUGUGUCGCGUACAGCAAGAACCCUGUCCGCCCCGGCAGUGGGCCAUUGGCCAGCAAAGGCACACAGCGAUCGGACUGAGCAUAUCAAGUAGCCCCUCCUGUGACCCACAA
rnacentral:lncRNA from 1 species